GAGGAGAGGAUUUUUGUCUUAACCAAGAUAAGAUGGGAUGUAGGAAUUGAAUGCCUCUCCUCUCGAUGCUGUAUCCUAUUUAUAAUUGUCGAGAGGGCAUAAGAAGCAUCUCUCGAUGAUUUCCAACCACCUAAAAAAAAGGCUUAUCAUACCAAAAGUCUUAUUAGAUAAAAACUUUUGGAAAUAAAACACUGGUCUACUUUUUUCCUCGCACGCACGCUCUCAGGGAA
rnacentral:lncRNA from 1 species